CAGAAGAGCAGUGAAAUCCUCACAGUUACUGGACGGUUCAGUCCAUAUUCUGCUGGCUCAAAGGGAAACGACAGCAGCUCAUGCGGCAGAAAACCAUGAAGAGCAGGGGAGGAGCAGCAGCUAUGUUGUCCAGCAAGCCGCUCUCUUCCUUCUGCGCUGACUGCGAAGACC